rnacentral:rRNA from 1 species
AUAUUGGAGGGCAAGUCUGGUGCCAGCAGCCGCGGUAAUUCCAGCUCCAAUAGCGUAUAUUAAAGUUGUUGUGGUUAAAAAGCUCGUAGUUGGAUCUCAGCUUAUGUAUAAUGGUCCACUUGACGGUGGUUACUGUUAUGCUGAGCAUGAUACUAGAUUGUUCCUGUGGUGUUCUUAAUUGAGUGUCACAGGCGAUUAGUACGUUUACUUUGAAAAAAUUAGAGUGCUCAAAGCAGGCAUUAUAGCCUGAAUACUGUUGCAUGGAAUAAUAGAAUAGGACCUUGGUUCUGUUCUGUUGGUCUUUGGAAUCGAGGUAAUGAUUAACAGGGACUGACGGGGACAUUAGUACUGCGGCGAUAGAGGUGAAAUUCUUGGACCGCCGCAUGACUAACUAAAGCGAAAGCAUUUGUCAAGAAUGUUUUCAUUAAUCAAGAACGAA